rnacentral:rRNA from 1 species
UACGAAGGGUGCAAGCGUUACUCGGAAUUACUGGGCGUAAAGCGUGCGUAGGUGGUGAGUUAAGUCUGUCGUGAAAGCCCCGGGCUCAACCUGGGAAUGGCGAUGGAUACUGGCUCGCUAGAGUGCGGUAGAGGAGAGUGGAAUUCUCGGUGUAGCAGUGAAAUGCGUAGAGAUCGGGAGGAACAUCAGUUGCGAAGGCGGCUCUCUGGACCAGCACUGACACUGAGGCACGAAAGCGUGGGGAGCAAACAGG